GGAGGGUGCGAGCGUUAGUCGGAAUUACUGGGCGUAAAGCGCGCGUAGGCGGCUUGGUCAGUCGGAUGUGAAAGCCCCGGGCUUAACCUGGGAAUUGCAUUCGAUACUGCCAGACUAGAGUAUGGGAGAGGGAAGCGGAAUUUCCGGUGUAGCGGUGAAAUGCGUAGAUAUCGGAAGGAACACCAGUGGCGAAGGCGGCUUCCUGGCCCAAUACUGACGCUGAGGUGCGAAAGCGUGGGGAGCAAACAGGGAUUAGAUACCCUGGUAGUCCACGCCGUAAACGAUGAGAACUAGAUGUCGGGAGGAUUUGCCUCUCGGUGUCGCAGCUAACGCGUUAAGUUCUCCGCCUGGGGAGCACGCCGGCAACGGUA
rnacentral:rRNA from 1 species